AGGAAACCAGUGGUCCUCCCUCCCUAACCAAGAGGUCCAAGCCUGACCAAGUGAAGGCCUGGCUGGAGUACAAGGGCUUCAGUAAAAUCACGGUGCGCUGUCUGGGUGUGCUGAGUGGCUCCAUGCUCCUGGGGAUGACAAGAGAGGAGCUGAAGAUUGUGUGUCCUGAGGAGGGGGGGCGGGUCUUCUUCCAGCUCCAGAACAUCAAGUCUGCCAUGGCUCUUGCCAGUGAGGUAAGGCCCAUAGAGCCUUAGGACGGGAGAAGACAAGAUGACCAGAGAGUCACAGACAAGUCGGGACAUGAAGUUUCAACCCUUGAGCUUCAAGCUACAAAUUUCCGCGCUGCAGUAGAGAAAAUACUGAUUAUAUCCACUGAAAACACAAAGUAAGCAGAGUUGUGUUAGAAGUAUGUAGGGCGGACGCAUCAAAGCUCUAGUGUUAGUUACAUUUAGUAAAAAAUACUAUUUGUGCAUUUGAUAAGAUCCAAUACUUAAAGACAGAUUCUCUCUAUAUAUAUUCUGUAUCAACUGUUUUAACUUAAAUAUUUUUACCAUAUGUAUUGUAUCAAACCAGUGUUGAUGCCACUUGAUUCUAUGAUUGAUCUUGAUUAGUUUAUU